AACGCACCUUGCGCCCCUUGGUAUUCCGAGGGGCACACCCGUUUGAGUGUCGUGAAAACCUCAACCUCCUUGGUUUCUUCUGGAGACCAAAGGAGGCUUGGACUUUGGAGGCCUUUGCUGGCGUCUCUCUUUUGAAGGCCAGCUCCUCUCAAACAAAUUAGCGGGGUCCUCUUUGCCGAUCCUCGACAUGUGAUAAGAUGUUUUUCCAUGUCUUGGUUUCUGGCUCUGUCACCUUUGGGACCCGCUUCUAACCGUCUUGACCUUGCGUCGAGACAAUGUUCGAGCAUGUCUCCCCAUUCUCGGGAAGCUCCCUCGACCCCACGAACCCCUUGACCUCAAAUCGGGUGAGACUACCCGCUGAACUUAA
rnacentral:misc_RNA from 1 species